rnacentral:lncRNA from 1 species
ACCGCGAGCAGGUGUAGACGCGGGCGGGUUCUGGACGCGGAAAGUUUGCCAGAGCGCGCUGAGCGGGCUGGCUGGGAGGACGGGUCUGGGCGUAGGCGGAGCCGCGCCUCCGAGGGGCGAGGCUCACAUCUGGGGCGGGGACGGGACCCACCUGUGGGGUCUCAGUCGCCCCCCCCCCAGGGCAGAAGCUCCUUGGGCGAACUCCAAACUCCAGCCUCAGCGGCUGGAAUUCGGGUGCCCCCUUCCUCGGGAGCUGCAGAAGCUGCAGCUGAGGCGGGAGAGGGAUUUGGGGCGACAGAGCGAGACCAGAGGGGGCUUAUUCUGAGUCUUCUAGACGGGAUUACCAAGCGCUCACUCCCCCGGGGAAGCCUGAGGAGUCUCCACCUCACUUGUGAGGAAGCUGAGGGGCGGAGAGGCCAAUUUGGCACCCGUCCCACGCUGGUAAUAAGACCAGGGGACUCCAACCCCAUUUGUCCUGGCUCCUCUUCUCCUUCCACCUCCGCCUCAGUGAGGAGAAAGGGUGCUAGCCAUGGGGGUAGUGCAGGUGAGACCUGGGGCUGGGAUUCAGGGAAGCCCUGGAUUGAGACCCUUGGAUCUGCUGGGGGCGAAUCCCACUGCCUCUCUGUGGCUCCAGGUGACCCCGCAGCACUGGGUGAGAGAAUGAACGCAGGAGGGAAGCUGGUGGCAGAGAGUACUGGGCAGAGGGUGCUAGUGCCCACCUGCUUUGUGCCCAGGGGUGCUGUGCCUAGAGCGCUUCGGGUGGGGCAGAGUAUUUAUGCCACACUCUCUCCUCUAGGGGAAAGAAGACAGCCUACCACAGAAUCUGCCACAGGACAAGGGCAGAAGGUUUUCCCUUGGCUGGAGGAGAGACCCGCAUUUCUAGGGAGGUUCUUGGGGAGGCUCAGCUUCAUCUCCCAUCACCUUCUGUCCCUUUGCCCCCGUUCCUACUCCCACAUCCUCCUGUCCUGGGAUUUCUCCCACUACGGGGCCUUUUGCACAUGUCGUUUAUUCUUUUGA